CGUUAUAACCGGCGAUACCCGAAUGGGGAAACCCAGUGUGACUCGUCACACUAUCAUUAACUGAAUCCAUAGGUUAAUGAGGCGAACCGGGGGAACUGAAACAUCUAAGUACCCCGAGGAAAAGAAAUCAACCGAGAUUCCCCCAGUAGCGGCGAGCGAACGGGGAGGAGCCCAGAGCCUGAAUCAGCAUGUGUGUUAGUGGAAGCGUCUGGAAAGGCGCGCGAUACAGGGUGACAGCCCCGUACACAAAAGCGCAUGUGCUGUGAGCUCGAUGAGUAGGGCGGGACACGUGGUAUCCUGUCUGAAUAUGGGGGGACCAUCCUCCAAGGCUAAAUACUCCUGACUGACCGAUAGUGAACCAGUACCGUGAGGGAAAGGCGAAAAGAACCCCGGCGAGGGGAGUGAAAAAGAACCUGAAACCGU
rnacentral:rRNA from 1 species